CCUACGGGAGGCAGCAGUGAGGAAUAUUGGACAAUGGGCGCAAGCCUGAUCCAGCCAUGCCGCGUGCAGGAAGAAGCAUCUAUGGUGUGUAAACUGCUUUUGUACAGGAAGAAACACUCCCUCGUGAGGGAGCUUGACGGUACUGUAAGAAUAAGGACGGGCUAACUCCGUGCCAGCAGCCGCGGUAAUACGGAGGGUCCGAGCGUUAUCCGGAAUCAUUGGGUUUAAAGGGUCCGUAGGCGGUUUAAUAAGUCAGUGGUGAAAUCUGGUCGCUCAACGAUCAAACGGCCAUUGAUACUGUUAGACUUGAAUUAUAAGGAAGUAACUAGAAUAUGUAGUGUAGCGGUGAAAUGCUUAGAUAUUACAUGGAAUACCAAUUGCGAAGGCAGGUUACUACUUAUGGAUUGACGCUGAUGGACGAAAGCGUGGGGAGCGAACAGGAUUAGAUACCCUAGUAGUCCACGCCGUAAACGAUGGAUACUAGCUGUUCGGAGCAAUCUGAGUGGCUAAGCGAAAGUGAUAAGUAUCCCACCUGGGGAGUACGUUCGCAAGAAUGAAACUUAAAGAGUAGUAGCGUGNGAGAGCGACGAGACACGAGGAGGGAGAG
rnacentral:rRNA from 1 species